UACGAAGGGGGCUAGCGUUGUUCGGAAUUACUGGGCGUAAAGCGCACGUAGGCGGACAUUUAAGUCAGGGGUGAAAUCCCGGGGCUCAACCCCGGAACUGCCUUUGAUACUGGGUGUCUAGAGUGUGGAAGAGGUGAGUGGAAUUCCGAGUGUAGAGGUGAAAUUCGUAGAUAUUCGGAAGAACACCAGUGGCGAAGGCGGCUCACUGGACCGGUAUUGACGCUGAGGUGCGAAAGCGUGGGGAGCAAACAGG
rnacentral:rRNA from 1 species